GGAGUUUGGACCGUGUCUCAGUUCCAAUGUGGGGGACCUUCCUCUCAGAACCCCUACCGAUCGUAGCCUUGGUGGGCCGUUACCCCGCCAACAAGCUAAUCGGACGCGAGCCGAUCCGUCACCGAUAAAUCUUUCAAACAUACACCAUGAAGCAUACAUUCAUAUGGGGUAUCAGAAGCCGUUUCCAGCCCUUGUCCCCCUGUGACGGGCACGUCGCUCACGCGUUACUCACCCUUUCGCCGGUCGCCGCCAAGAUAUUGCUACCUCGCGCUGCCCCUCGACUUGCAUGUGUUAAGCCUGCCGCUAGCGUUCAUC
rnacentral:rRNA from 1 species